AAGUCCCGUAACGAGCGCAACCCUCGCCCUUAGUUGCCAUCAUUUAGUUGGGCACUCUAAGGGGACUGCCGGUGAUAAGCCGGAGGAAGGUGGGGAUGACGUCAAGUCCUCAUGGCCCUUACAGGCUGGGCUACACACGUGCUACAAUGGCGGUGACAGAGGGAUGCAAAGGAGCAAUCCUUAGCAAAUCUCAAAAAGCCGUCUCAGUUCGGAUUGUGCUCUGCAACUCGAGCACAUGAAGUUGGAAUCGCUAGUAAUCGCAGAUCAGCACGCUGCGGUGAAUACGUUCCCGGGCCUUGUACACACCGCCCGU
rnacentral:rRNA from 1 species